rnacentral:rRNA from 1 species
UACGUAGGUCUCGAGCGUUAUCCGGAAUUACUGGGCGUAAAGCGUCUGUAGCCGGAUGUAUAAGUCUGUCUUUAAAUACUCUGAUUCAAUCGGAGAAAAGGGAUAGAUACUGUAUAUCUAGAGGAUUUUAGAGGUUAGUGGAAUUUCCGGUGGAGCGGUGAAAUGCGUUGAUAUCGGAAGGAAUGCCGAAAGCGAAAGCAGCUAACUAUAAAAUAUCUGACGGUCAGAGACGACAGCUUGGGGAGCGAACGGG